rnacentral:rRNA from 1 species
UUGAACGCUGGCGGCAGGCCUAACCCAUGCCAGGCGAGCGGAUGAAGGGAGCUUGCUCCUGGAUUCAGCGGCGGACGGGGGAGUAAUGCCUAGGAAUCUGCCUGGUAGUGGGGGAUAACGUCCGGAAACGGGCGCUAAUACCGCAUACGUCCUGAGGGAGAAAGUGGGGGAUCUUCGGACCUCACGCUAUCAGAUGAGCCUAGGUCGGAUUAGCUAGUUGGUGGGGUAAAGGCCUACCAAGGCGACGACCCGUAACUGGUCUGAGAGGAUGAUCAGUCACACUGGAACUGAGACACGGUCCAGACUCCUACGGGAGGCAGCAGUGGGGAAUAUUGGACAAUGGGCGAAAGCCUGAUCCAGCCAUGCCGCGUGUGUGAAGAAGGUCUUCGGAUUGUAAAGCACUUUAAGUUGGGAGGAAGGGCAGUAAGUUAAUACCUUGCUGUUUUGACGUUACCAACAGAAUAAGCACCGGCUAACUUCGUG